AGUACCAUGAUCAUAGUGCUAAAUGAAAGAAUAAUUUAUGUAGGCUGUCCUGUGCCAUUCUCUUGGUAUUUGUCCUUACCUCUAAGAUACUCUAAAAUCAUUGGAAAUGUCACUGCUGUAUCUCUGAAAAGUUUCUCCAAGUAUUUCUUCUUUUCACCACGUACAGAACUUGAGCUCAUGUGUCAGCCUCUCCAUAGAUAAAAUGGAAUGUAUUGGCUGGUUGCUCGUGAAUGAAUUAUCUCUUUAUGGCUAGAAUGAUUCCCCUCAGCAAAAGGUAUGCUGGGCUUAGGCGAAAGGCAGCGUCCUGUAAGACGGAGGCCAGGAGAAUGGGUGUUCAGUUCAGUGCAGCCUUGUCUCCCUCUCUCAGCACAGAAAAGGAGGAACUUAGUAUGACUUUGCCUUUUCUAUCAUAAGUGUUAACUUGAUGACUCAAAUAAUAGAAGCUUCUCUUUGAACCA